rnacentral:piRNA from 1 species
CAGAGAAAUAUUGUUAGGAGAUAGAUGA